rnacentral:antisense_RNA from 1 species
UGUGGGAGCGAGCCUGCUCGCGAUGGCGAUUCAUCAUUCAGCAUUGAUGUUGGCUGAAAGACAGCUAUCGCGAGCAGGCUCGCUCCUACA